rnacentral:rRNA from 1 species
UACGGGGGGAGCAAGCGUUGUUCGGAUUUACUGGGCGUAAAGGGCGCGUAGGCGGUCAGCACAAGUCAGUUGUGAAAUCUCCGGGCUUAACUCGGAAAGGUCAACUGAUACUGUGCGACUAGAGUGCAGAAGGGGCAACUGGAAUUCUCGGUGUAGCGGUGAAAUGCGUAGAUAUCGAGAGGGAACACCUGCGGCGAAGGCGGGUUGCUGGCCCGAUACUGACGCUGAGGCACGAAAGCGUGGGGAGCAAACAGG